UACGGAGGAUGCGAGCGUUAUCCGGAUUUAUUGGGUUUAAAGGGUGCGUAGGCGGCCGAGUAAGUCAGCGGUGAAAUUUUGCAGCUUAACUGUAACAGUGCCGUUGAUACUGGGGAGCUAGGAUUUGGUUGCUGUGGGUGGAAUGUGUGGUGUAGCGGUGAAAUGCUUAGAGAUCACACAGAAUAUCGAUUGCGAAGGCAGCUCACAAAGCCAAGAUUGACGCUGAGGCACGAAAGUGUGGGGAUCAAACAGGA
rnacentral:rRNA from 1 species